rnacentral:lncRNA from 1 species
AGUAAAAGGCUUCGAAAAGUUCAUCAAACAGGCUUCCCACGGAGACCGCGAAAAUACGAUCUGGAGUUGGCUUCAAAGCCAGGCCUAGGAAUCCAGUAACUUCUUCUGGGGGCUUUCAUCAUUUUCACUGCAACCCUCCCUCCUCCUCCUACACGGUGGUAGUAGAGGAUGAACAGGAGCAGAACUGUCGCACCGAUGAUGAAGGGGCGAAGGGGGAUGGUGGAAACCCAAGGCACGUAUUGCCGAAGGAUGGAAAUGAGAUCCACUUUGAUAGAUCCCGAGAACUUGGAGCCAGUCAAUCACUUUUCUUAUCGAACUCGCACUAAAGUUCUCUAGCACCACCAGCCACACCUGCAACUUCAUCACAUAGUUCAUCCAAUUUUCUCCCCCCCAAUGUCCCUCCUUUCUCCCUCCUCCCCCUUCUCCCCCCGCAUAUUUCAACUCAGUUCUCCUCCCCCCGAUCCCUCCCUUUCUCUCUCAACUUCUCCAUUGCAUAGUUCAUUGAAAUCUCUUGUCCCCCCCUCUCUCUCUCUCUUUCUAUCUAACUAACUAACAAAGAGGUUAUGGCACACCUUGUAACACGUUGCUCAUAUAAAAGGAGACUUGUAAGCAAUUUUGGUCCCCAACGUAUUUGGGCCGUGCCAUUUUGGUUCCCAACAUAUCAAUUGCAUAAUUACAUUUGAAUUUAAAUGUUCCCUUGAUUGGAUGUUGUCCACAAUAAGCGUUAAAAUUGGGAGCAAUUAUGGAAUUUUAGCUCUAAACAGCCAUGGAGGAAAAAAUCCUGCUAAAAACCGUUUCUCUACAUUCUUUGGUAUAUAAUUGUGCGUAAAAGUCCUAUGGAAAAAAAGAAAAAAGAAAAAAAAAGGAGUAUAGCUUAGCAUCUAAUGAAGAGGAAUAAAAACAUCCAACUCACAUAUGGAGCAUACCCAAGCUUCUGUGCUGAGAAAUCCAACUCAAUCAAAGACAUAAAAUCUGGGUCUAGGUUAUCUAUGAGAUCAAUCUUUACCCCAGUAUACACUUUCAUGGGCCUAAAAGUGAAUCUACCACCCCGGUGAACUUCAUUUGCAACUUUAAGUCUUUGUUUUCUCUUUUUCUUUAUGGUAGGUGUUUGCUUUCUCUUUUAACUUCAACAUUACUUCUACGGGGAAAGGAAAGGAAAGGAAAGGAAAGGAAUCGGUGUACGUGAUUUGAAAAUAUUGAAAAUCAGUUUUAUUAUAAAAUAUUUCCAUAUUAGAUUGUUUUGUUUAGCUUUGAUCAGGGGUUUGAUUUUAUUAUCUUAUUAGUUAAUAUCCUACUUUGGAUUACCCUUAUAUAUGGGAUUGCAUAUAUUAGUUGUAAUCAAACUAUGAUCUCAAGAUUUGAGAAUGAGAUUUAAACUGCUAGUAGUUGUUUUUUUUUCUUUUUCUUCCGAGUAGC